UAAAGUUGACAGAAUAUAUGUGAGUGAAUUAGGAUCAUUUUAUAAGAAUUUUUUUUCUUACUUUA
rnacentral:tRNA from 1 species